rnacentral:rRNA from 1 species
AAGCGCUUAUGACCAGACUUGGGCUUUGUGAAUCAUCCAGUGUUCUCACUGGUGCACUUCGCUUGGUUCAGGCCAGCAUCGGUUCUUUUUAGGGGGAUAAAAGCUCUGGGAAUGUAGCUCUUUCGGGAGUGUUAUAGCCUACUGCAAAAUACCUCUAGGGGGACCGAGGUUCGCGCUCUGCAAGGAUGCUGGCGUAAUGGUCAUUAGCG